CCUACGGGUGGCAGCAGUAGGGAAUUUUCGGCAAUGGGGGAAACCCUGACCGAGCAACGCCGCGUGAAGGAAGAAGUAAUUCGUUAUGUAAACUUCUGUCAUAGAGGAAGAACGGUGGAUAUAGGGAAUGAUAUCCAAGUGACGGUACUCUAUAAGAAAGCCACGGCUAACUACGUGCCAGCAGCCGCGGUAAUACGUAGGUGGCGAGCGUUAUCCGGAAUUAUUGGGCGUAAAGAGGGAGCAGGCGGCACUAAGGGUCUGUGGUGAAAGAUCGAAGCUUAACUUCGGUAAGCCAUGGAAACCGUAGAGCUAGAGUGUGUGAGAGGAUCGUGGAAUUCCAUGUGUAGCGGUGAAAUGCGUAGAUAUAUGGAGGAACACCAGUGGCGAAGGCGACGAUCUGGCGCAUAACUGACGCUCAGUCCCGAAAGCGUGGGGAGCAAAUAGGAUUAGAUACCCUAGUAGUC
rnacentral:rRNA from 1 species